GGCCUGAUAGCACAGCGGUUAGUGCUCCUGUUUUUCCUGACGUAGACAUCAAACAAUAAUGCAGGUAAUCCAGGUUCGACUCCGGAUUAGGCAA